rnacentral:rRNA from 1 species
UACGUAGAGUGCAAGCGUUGUCCGGAAUUAUUGGGCGUAAAGAGCUCGUAGGCGGUCUGUCGCGUCUGCUGUGAAAACUCAGGGCUUAACCCUGAGCUUGCAGUGGGUACGGGCAGACUAAAGUGCGGUAGGGGAGACUGGAAUUCCUGGUGUAGCGGUGAAAUGCGCAGAUAUCAGAAGGAACACCGGUGGCGAAAACGGGUCUCUGGGCCGUAACUGACGCUGAGGAGCGAAAGCAUGGGGAGCGAACAGG